CUUUCAUACUUGAGGAUGGUCGGCUGAGUGGCUUUCAUCUGCCAUCAGAGGUCACUCACUUCUUGCUUCAAGUCCAAAACUCUGAAUUUGAAGAAUGUUGGCCACUGUCUACGAGUGAAGAGCUCUCACACCCUACUCUUUCUCUCGUGAACAGCUCGUCAAGAGGACACUCAUCACAAUCCAAGAAAUGAAAUCAGUCCACAGGCCUUUGUUAGGCACAUUCUGGCUGUGGAACAACACACUUUCUGGUUGGAACGAUAGUUGCGACAUUUUUCAGACUUUCAUAUAGCUGUAGCGUUCCCUGUUUCAGCCGAUUGGAAAAUGGAUCUGAACAGCAUGUUUCUGAACAACGAAUAUUUACGUCCAGUAGAGUACCAUAAAUGGGAUGAUUUUCAACUCCACUUAAUAUUGGAUUGCUACGGAUUGCGCAUUCAUAUUACCGUAAUUUAUGCGGAUCAUGAAACAAUGUGGAAUUACGAAAGGGACAGAACAGGAAAUUUAAUAA